GACGAACGCUGGCGGCGUGCUUAACACAUGCAAGUCGAACGGAAAGGCCCGGCUGGCAGGGUACUCUGGUGGCGAACGGGUGAUUAACACGGGGGGGAUCGGCCCUGCACUUCGGGAUAAGCCUGGGAAACGGGUUCUAAUACCGGAUAGGAGCCAUUUUUAGUGUAAUGGUUGGAAAGUUUUUUCGGUGUAGGAUGAGCUCGCGGCCUAUCAGCGUGUUGGUGGGGUAAGGGCCGACCAAGGCGGCGACGGGUAGCCGGCCCGGGAGGGUGGACGGCCACGUUGGGACUGAGACACGGCCAAGACUCAUACGGGAGGCAGAAGUGGGGAAGAUUGCACAAUGGGAGCAAGCCUGAUGCAGAGACGCCGCGUGGGGGAUGACGGACUUCGGGUUGUAAACUCCUUUCGCUAGGGACGAAGCUUUUUGUGACGGUACCUAGAUAAGAAGCCCCGGCUAACUACGUG
rnacentral:rRNA from 1 species